GAUCCUGGCUAAGGAUGAACGCUAGCUACAGGCUUAACACAUGCAAGUCGAGGGGCAGCAUUUUAGUUUGCUUGCAAACUAAAGAUGGCGACCGGCGCACGGGUGAGUAACACGUAUCCAACCUGCCGAUAACUCGGGGAUAGCCUUUCGAAAGAAAGAUUAAUAUCCGAUAGUAUAUUUUCUCCGCAUGGUGAGAAUAUUAAAGAAUUUCGGUUAUCGAUGGGGAUGCGUUCCAUUAGUUUGUUGGCGGGGUAACGG
rnacentral:rRNA from 1 species